UCUAUUUUUUUUGGGCCAGGACCCAAUUGCCCAGCCCAUUCCAGGGUCGACCCAGACCCCUCAGCCGACCUAGAUCUGACCCAAUUCCCUCAAUCCCCCUUUAACAAAUAACAGCAGACCAACAACAACUUGAAUCCAGCUUCAACAACCGACAACUUCAACUCUCAACAUAAAACACAACACCAAUACUCCAAUAUCAAAAUAAAAAAAAAUUAACGCGAAACAACAACAACCAAUGCAUCAAUAACAGUAAUUUCAAAACAACAGUAAAUCAAGUCAACAAAGACAACUAUUAAUCUGGAUUUUCUCAAAAUCGUUCGAUCUGAUAUGAACACGGACGAUCAUGAUUAUUCAUUUUUAAAUUUCAAAUUUUUCAUCCUCAAUUUCUUAUUUGUUUCCUCCUUAAAAUCAGUCCAAAACCUCCUAUAAGUACCCAUUGAAGAACAAAAGGGAGGGAGGAGGAUUUUGAGCAAAAAUUUGAGGAUUCGGGAGGUGCGUGCUUCUAAUCCUACACAAUCAAAAAUCCUAAAAGAAAUAGACUCAAAAACUCGAUUAAAAAAGAUUAAACUCUGAAGGAUCGGGAUUCAAACUCCGGUGGUGAAAGUCCAUCGCCAAGGUUCGUUUGUCCUAGUUUGCUGCCCUAAAAAAGGUCGUAGAUGAUAAGUGGUAGAUGAAUGUCGGUCGGCUUUGGAAAUUUUUUUUAGUUUACAGGUGGUAAAUGACGAUCGACUUUGAGAAUUUUUUUGGUAAAGGUUAGGUUUAAUUAAAUAAAUUCUUCAAAAGAUGUUGAGUUUAAUUAUUGUAUUAAUUUUUAUUAUGUAAACAAAUAUUCUAUUUAAUGUAACGUUUGAACUCAAUAAAGUGAGUUACACGCGCGAGUCGCGUACACCUUAAAAAAUACGAAGCACCUUAGUGAACUAUUGUUCAACUUCUUUACUUUUU